CGGGUGAGUAACACGUAUGCAACCUGCCUGCCACAGCCGGAUAAUCGGGAGAAAUUCCGUCUAAUACGGCAUAAUGCAUCGACGGGACAUCCUGUUGGUGCCAAAGGUUGAUUCCGGUGGCGGAUGGGCAUGCGUCGCAUUAGUUAGUUGGCGGUGUAACGGCCCACCAAGGCGACGAUGCGUAGGGGUUCUGAGAGGAAGGUCCCCCACACUGGUACUGAGACACGGACCAGACUCCUACGGGAGGCAGCAG
rnacentral:rRNA from 1 species